CUGCCUCCUGAGAUUUGUUUGGACUUUGGAUUUCCUGGCCUGCCCCUGAUUCGAUUGUUUGUCUGAGUGGGCUGCCUUCCCAGUUUUGACCCUGCCUGCCUCACAAUUCCAGUACCUAUCACUGGUGCCCCGCUGCAGUGCAUCCUUGUUGCAGUAUGGAUGGCCUUGUUGCAGUUCAUCUCCUGGAGGCGUCUCAGAGGUCGAGCUGUCUGCCUUCAGCUGCUACAUUUCCAAUCUUGAGGCUUGAACCCACCCAUUCAGUGGAUCGACACCUCAUGAUCUGCAGUCUGGUCGCACUCCCAAGACGUCAAAAUGCACUGCCUGGGCAGCGUCAUCAUUAACGCAUUCUCACACAACCUCGCCACAUAUUGACGUUUGGUCAUGACCCUUUCAAGUCCAGAUACAAGAUGAA